rnacentral:misc_RNA from 1 species
UUCUUGUUUCACCUGGACAGCAUUGAAGGAAGCAUGUCUAACACAAGACAACCUCAGGAAAAAAGGUGUAAUCCUCAUCAACAGAUGUGUCAUGUGCAAGCAAACCAAUGAGAGUGUUAAUCACCUUUUUUUGCACUGCCCUGCAACUAUUAGCUUAUGGUAUUAUUUCUACUCUAUGUUUGGUCUACAAUGGGUAAUGCCCUACAACAUGAAGGAUGCUUAUGCCAGCUGGAUAUUGUGGAAAGUUGACAGAUCCAUCAGAAAGAUCUGGAGAAUGAUCCCAGCAGCCAUUUUUUGGAGCAUAUGGAAAGAGA